UACAGAGGUCUCGAGCGUUAGGCGGAAUCACUGGGCUUAAAGCGUGUGUAGGCGGAUCGGUAAGUACCUUGUGAAAUCCCACAGCUUAACUGUGGAACUGCUUGGUAUACUGCCAGUCUUGACCAGCUAGGGGCUACCGGAACAAAUGGUGGAGCGGUGAAAUGCGUAGAUAUCAUUUGGAACGCCAUGUGAAAACAGGUAGCUGGGGGCUGUGCUGACGCUGAGACACGAAAGCCAGGGGGAGCAAACGGGG
rnacentral:rRNA from 1 species